AGCCUGAUGCAGCAACGCCGCGUGAGGGACGACGGCCUUCGGGUUGUAAACCUCUUUUAGCAGGGAAGAAGCGAAAGUGACGGUACCUGCAGAAAAAGCACCGGCUAACUACGUGCCAGCAGCCGCGGUAAUACGUAGGGUGCAAGCGUUAUCCGGAAUUAUUGGGCGUAAAGAGCUCGUAGGCGGUUUGUCGCGUCUGCUGUGAAAACUGGGGGCUCAACCCCCAGCCUGCAGUGGGUACGGGCAGACUAGAGUGCGGUAGGGGAGAUUGGAAUUCCUGGUGUAGCGGUGGAAUGCGCAGAUAUCAGGAGGAACACCGAUGGCGAAGGCAGAUCUCUGGGCCGUAACUGACGCUGAGGAGCGAAAGGGUGGGGAGCAAACAGGCUUAGAUACCCUGGUAGUCCACCCCGUAAACGUUGGGAACUAGUUGUGGGGUCCAUUCCACGGAUUCCGUGACGCAGCUAACGCAUUAAGUUCCCCGCCUGGGGAGUACGGCCGCAAGGCUAAAACUCAAAGGAAUUGACGGGGACCCGCACAAGCGGCGGAGCAUGCGGAUUAAUUCGAUGCAACGCGAAGAACCUUACCAAGGCUUGACAUAUACGAGAACGCUGCAGAAAUGUAGAACUCUUUGGA
rnacentral:rRNA from 1 species